rnacentral:rRNA from 1 species
UACAGAGGUGGCAAGCGUUGUUCGGAAUUACUGGGCGUAAAGGGCGCGUAGGCGGCCUUCUAAGUCGGACGUGAAAUCCCCAGGCUUAACUUGGGAACUGCGUCUGAUACUGGAAGGCUUGAGUGCGGGAGAGGGAUGUGGAAUUCCAGGUGUAGCGGUGAAAUGCGUAGAUAUCUGGAGGAACACCGGUGGCGAAGGCGGCAUCCUGGACCAACACUGACACUGAGGAGCGAAAGCCAGGGGAGCAAACGGG